GACGAACGCUGGCGGCGUGCUUAACACAUGCAAGUCGAGCGAACGGACGAGACGUUUGUGUCUUUCUCGUUUGGCGCGCAGGUGAGUGACACAUGUGUAUCCUCCCCUUAUCUUUGUGGUAACUUCAGGAGACUCGGGCUCAUACCCGGUAGAAUCUCCUGCAGCAUAGUGGGGAAUGGAGAGUUUCGGCGGUUGUGGCUGGUCUCGCGGCUUAUGCGCUUGUUUGUGUGGUAGGUGCUUACCAAGGCUUUGACGGGUAGCCUGCCUGAGAGGGUGACCGGGCACAUUGCGACUGCGAUACGGCGCAGACGCCUAUGGGAGGCAGCAGUGGGGAACAUUGCACAAUGGGCGGAAGUGUGAUGCAGCAACGCCGCGAGCGGGAUGACGGGCUUUGGGUGGUAAACAGAUGUGUACUGUGACGAAGAGUGCGUGACGGUAACGGGUAAAGAAGCACCGGCUAACUACGUG
rnacentral:rRNA from 1 species